UAGGGAAUCUUCCGCAAUGGACGCAAGUCUGACGGAGCAACGCCGCGUGAGUGAAGAAGGAUUUCGGUUCGUAAAACUCUGUUGUUAGAGAAGAACAGCGCAUAGAGUAACUGUUAUGCGUGUGACGGUAUCUAACCAGAAAGCCACGGCUAACUACGUGCCAGCAGCCGCGGUAAUACGUAGGUGGCAAGCGUUGUCCGGAUUUAUUGGGCGUAAAGCGAGCGCAGGCGGUAAAUUAAGUCUGAUGUGAAAGCCCCCGGCUCAACCGGGGAGGGUCAUUGGAAACUGGUUGACUUGAGUGCAGAAGAGGAGAGUGGAAUUCCAUGUGUAGCGGUGAAAUGCGUAGAUAUAUGGGGGAACACCAGUGGCGAAGGCGACUCUCUGGUCGGUAAAUGACGCUGAGGCUCGAAAGCGUGGGUAGCAAACAGG
rnacentral:rRNA from 1 species